rfam:Populus trichocarpa scaffold_10_contig_134, whole genome shotgun sequence.
UCUAGAACUCGAGAUAUGGGUUGAACACUGAAUAGUGUCUAGGCUGCGGGAUAGAUUCGGAUUUCUUCGUUGUUGCUACAAUUUGGACUUGAAAACGACCUUGUUAGAUCUUGGACUCCUCAUAACCUACACCUGUGCUAUG